GACGAACGCUGGCGGCGUGCUUAACACAUGCAAGUCGAACGAAGAGCGAUGGAAGCUUGCUUCUAUCAAUCUUAGUGGCGAACGGGUGAGUAACGCGUAAUCAACCUGCCCUUCAGAGGGGGACAACAGUUGGAAAAGACUGCUAAUAACGCAUACGAUCUAAUCUCGGCAUCGGGGAUAGAUGAAAGGUGGCCUCUACAUGUAAGCUAUCACUGAAGGAGGGGAUUGCGUCUGAUUAGCUAGUUGGAGGGGUAACGGCCCACCAAGGCGAUGAUCAGUAGCCGGUCUGAGAGGAUGAACGGCCACAUUGGGACUGAGACACGGCCCAGACUCCUACGGGAGGCAGCAGUGGGGAAUCUUCCGCAAUGGACGAAAGUCUGACGAAGCAACGCCGCGUGAGUGAUGACGGCCUUCGGGUUGUAAAGCUCUGUUAAUCGGGACGAAAGGCCUUCUUGCGAAUAGGGAGAAGGAUUGACGGUACCGGAAUAGAAAGCCACGGCUAACUACGUG
rnacentral:rRNA from 1 species